rnacentral:lncRNA from 1 species
AUGAGAAUGCAGACAGUACAUACGCACACCGUCCAUUUCCUUGUGAAGAAGAAGCGCCUGAUGGAGCGUUAUGAAGACCCCUCUUUCAAUUCACAUUCACGUGCAUCACCACCUCCUCUCUCUCUCUCUCUAGAAAAGUCAUGCACUACCACUCUCUCUCUCUCCAUCUAUAAAACCUACCCAAGAAGAUAAAAUCUAUUCCCUCACCGAAUCUACACUCCAUAGAUGCAUUAUUGCAUGAAAUCUCAGGGAAAACAAGGAUAGAAUCAUGGCAAAUUCACUGGAAGAGCUGAACGGUAAGCAAGACCGGGACCCGAGCGGCGGCGGCGACGGCGACGGUGGCGAUGCCGGAAGCGACCUCACCGCUCCCAAGCUCUCCCUAUUCUCGCUCCCCCGGAAGGCGCUCGAGCC